GCACUUUAAGGCAGCACCUAAUCAGAGGUGAACCGAGCAGCCGUUGAUGAUUUUAAAUUUGCCAACGUUUCGCACUUAUAUUAACGUUAGCUGAAUUUGUCAGGUCAACAACAUGCAACCAGGGAUUGAAGUUAUCACCUGAACACUAACUGACUGUUUCCUGUGAUUGUUGAUGUUUCCCUAACUAAAUGCCUCUCGAAGACCGUUUUCUUGCUGCUUUGUGAAUCCUCGACAGUCCACGAUGCAGCUUCGUUAGCCUCUGAUUCUAGGGGAAGGCCUUCAGCUGAUUGGAUUUGGACAGCAGAUACUCCUCGACGGGAGACGAUCCUUGAGGGCGCGGUCUCUCUCUCUCUGUGAACUGAGAUGGCUCGUCACAUGUCUGCGUGGACACAAGCCUCUGCCUCAAACACACAGCAGGAGGGAAACAGGAGAAGAGCAAAGCUGCCUGACAUCGUCGAUGAUGACAUCUUCAGACACUACCCUGCACUCUGCAGACACACCCAGCGCUCACUGC